GAUGAACGCUGGCGGCGUGCCUAAUACAUGCAAGUCGAGCGAACAGACGAGGAGCUUGCUCCUCUGACGUUAGCGGCGGACGGGUGAGUAACACGUGGAUAACCUACCUAUAAGACUGGGAUAACUUCGGGAAACCGGAGCUAAUACCGGAUAAUAUACUGAACCGCAUGGUUCAAUAGUGAAAGACGGUUUUGCUGUCACUUAUAGAUGGAUCCGCGCCGCAUUAGCUAGUUGGUAAGGUAACGGCUUACCAAGGCGGCGAUGCGUAGCCGACCUGAGAGGGUGAUCGGCCACACUGGAACUGAGACACGGUCCAGACUCCUACGGGAGGCAGCAGUAGGGAAUCUUCCGCAAUGGGCGAAAGCGUGACGGAGCAACGCCGCGUGAGUGAUGAAGGUCUUCGGAUCGUAAAACUCUGUUAUUAGGGAAGAACAAAUGUGUAAGUAACUAUGCACGUCUUGACGGUACCUAAACAGAAAGCCACGGCUAACUACGUG
rnacentral:rRNA from 1 species